rnacentral:rRNA from 1 species
UACGUAGGGCGCAAGCGUUGUCCGGAAUUAUUGGGCGUAAAGAGCUCGUAGGCGGUUUGUCGCGUCUGCUGUGAAAGCCCGGGGCUCAACCCCGGGUCUGCAGUGGGUACGGGCAGACUAGAGUGCAGUAGGGGAGACUGGAAUUCCUGGUGUAGCGGUGAAAUGCGCAGAUAUCAGGAGGAACACCGAUGGCGAAGGCAGUGUUCUGGGCCAGUACUGACGCUGAGGAGCGAAAGCGUGGGGAGCAAACAGG